rnacentral:rRNA from 1 species
UACAGAGGGUGCGAACGUUGCUCGGAAUUACUGGGCGUAAAGCGCGUGUAGGCGGGUCGGCAAGUCAGGCGUGAAAUCCCCAGGCUCAACCUGGGAACUGCGCUUGAAACUGCCGGUCUUGAGUAUCGGAGAGGAUCGCGGAAUUCCCGGUGUAGCGGUGAAAUGCGCAGAUAUCGGGAAGAACACCCGUGGCGAAGGCGGCUCUCUGGGACGGUACUGACGCUGAGACGCGAAAGCGUGGGGAGCGAACAGG